rnacentral:rRNA from 1 species
CCUACGGGUGGCAGCAGUGAGGAAUAUUGGUCAAUGGGCGAGAGCCUGAACCAGCCAAGUCGCGUGAGGGAGUACUGCCCUAUGGGUUGUAAACCUCUUUUGUCGGGGAGCAAAAGCCGGACGUGUCCGGCUGUGAGAGUACCCGAAGAAAAAGCAUCGGCUAACUCCGGGCCAGCAGCCGCGGUAAUACGGAGGAUGCGAGCGUUAUCCGGAUUUAUUGGGUUUAAAGGGUGCGCAGGCGGAUUUUUAAGUCAGCGGUAAAAUCGUGGGGCUCAACCCCAUCCAGCCGUUGAAACUGGGGAUCUAGAGUGUGCGAGAGGUAUGCGGAAGGCGUGGUGUAGCGGUGAAAUGCAUAGAUAUCACGCAGAACCCCGAUUGCGAAGGCAGCAUACCGGUGCACAACUGACGCUCAGGCACGAAAGCGUGGGUAUCGAACAGGAUUAGAUACCCCAGUAGUC